CCCCACACAACUAGAUUGCAAGCCAUUAAACAAUAGAAAAAUAAUAUUACAAAAUAUGUAAAUGAUAAAGAAAUGCAAUAGAAAAAUAAUAUUACAAAAUAUGUAAGUGAUAAAGAAAUGCAGCAGGAGAAAGUUGAAUCAUUGAUGAGGAACCAAGAAGGGAAAUUGAUGUAGUGUCAUCCACAAAUAUAUAGUUGAUCAACUGCUCCAAUAAAAGGGAACUAAAAGCAAAAAAAAUGGAGAACCAGUCAGUCACAGAGAAAACUGAUAGCAUUAUGGUGAGUGAGGAAGCACAAAAGGAAAAAGAGUUAUUAGUGGAGAAAAUGGAGAACCAGCCAGUGUUGAAUAGUGGUGCUCAAGCAGAUGAUCAGUCAAAUUUCACAGAGAAACUUGUGAGUGAGAAAGCACAAAAGAAAGAGUUACUGGAGGAGUAAUCAAGAGCCACUUAUUAGUAUCCUUUAUAAAUUAAUAACUCAGGGAUUGAUGAGAUUGAUGCGAUAAAUCUAGAGCUGCAAUAAAUGGGGUCUUACCCUUAAUUACCAGUAGGCCAUGUUACUUUAGAAGGGACUAAUGAAAGCAGAAAAAUGAUAGAAAACCUAAUACUCUUGAUACUUGCAUCACAAUGAAUCAUAUUAGCACUCUUCAU
rnacentral:lncRNA from 1 species